CGCGCAGGCGGCGGACCAAGUCAGGCGUGAAAGCCCCGGGCUUAACCUGGGAACUGCGUCUGGGACUGGUAUGCUAGAGUUCGGGAGAGGAGAGUGGAAUUCCCAGUGUAGAGGUGAAAUUCGUAGAUAUUGGGAAGAACACCGGUGGCGAAGGCGGCUCUCUGGACCGAGACUGACGCUGAGGCGCGAAAGCGUGGGGAGCAAACA
rnacentral:rRNA from 1 species